rnacentral:rRNA from 1 species
CAUGUGAUGCUACAACCCAACUGGGGGAUCGCUCGGCUCGAGUGCCGACGAAGGUCGUGACAAGCUGCGAUAAGCUGCGGGGAGGUGCAUGUAUACCAUGGAUCCGCAGAUGGCUGAAUGGGACUUCCUGUAUCUUCGGAUACAAUCGCGAUGCGAUAGGGAACCCUCCGAAUUGAAGCAUCUUAGUAGGAGGAGGAAAUGAAAUCAAUAGAGAUUCCGUGAGUAGUGGCGAAUGAAAACGGAUCAGGACAAGCCGAAUCCCGAAACGAAAGUGAGGGAGAUGUGGUUGUCAGUCUUUUGUCUAAGUUAUGGAAGGUGAAAUUGCCUGGAACGGCAUAGCCAGAGAGGGUGAAAGUCCCGUAACCGUACAUAAUAUGACCACGUGACUGUCAAAGAGUAGCAUGCGUUGGAAAUCGCGUGUGAAUGUGGGACGCAAAUAGUUCCAAUCCUAAAUACAACUCGAGACCGAUAGUUUACAAGUAACGUGAGUGAAAGCUGAAAAGUAUCCUUAGCGGGAUGUGAAAAGAACGUGAAACCAGUUGGGUACAGGCUGAUUGGGCGUGAAAGCGAUGAUAUGAGCAGCGUCCAGUCGUGCGUUUAGAAAAAUGCCCCAGGGAGUCUUGAUCAUUGGCGAGGUUAAGCGGUUGAUCCGCGUAGCCGAAGGGAAACCGACAAGUCCGCAGCAGUUUACUGUGAGGGACGAAGUGUGCUCGCUUGGAGUCAAUGGUGGAGGACCUGAAGCCCGACGAUCUAUGCCUGGCCAGAUUGAAGCCCGUUGAAAGAUGGGUGGAGGAUCGAACCGUUGCUGAUCUGCAAAUCGCUCGGACGAGCUGGGUAUAGGGGUGAAAGUCCAAUCGAGUUGGGCAAUA